AGAAAGAAAGAGCUAUUAGGUUCUUUGCAAAGACUGUUCUAUCUUCUUUGUUAUAACUGCUAUUACCAGAUUUUAAAUUACUAUAAAUAACAGAAAAUUACCAUGAACCUUGAAUUCAUAUUUUUUGGGGCAAUGUGUUUGCAACCAUUUUUUUUUCUGGAAGAUUUUAAUAGAGGACACUUUGCCAUAAAGAUUACAGACAUUGCUGGAAAAUACCAC
rnacentral:lncRNA from 14 species